UAACAAGGAUUCCCCUAGUAACUGCGAGUGAAGCGGGAAGAGCUCAAAUUUAAAAUCUGGCGGUCUUCUGGCCGUCCGAGUUGUAAUCUGGAGAAGCGUUUUCUGUGUUAGACCGUGUACAAGUCUCCUGGAACGGAGCGUCAUAGAGGGUGAGAAUCCCGUCCAUGACACGGACAACUAAUACUUUGUGAUACGCUCUCGAAGAGUCGAGUUGUUUGGGAAUGCAGCUCAAAAUGGGUGGUAAAUUCCAUCUAAAGCUAAAUACAGGCGAGAGACCGAUAGCGAACAAGUACCGUGAGGGAAAGAUGAAAAGCACUUUGGAAAGAGAGUUAAACAGUACGUGAAAUUGUUGAAAGGGAAACGCUUGAAGUCAGUCGCGUUGUGCAGAACUCAGCCUUGCCUCGGCUUGGUGUACUUUCUGCACAACGGGUCAACAUCAAUUUUGGCCCAUGGAGAAAGGUGGGGGGAAUGUAGCGCUGUUUCGGCAGCGUGUUAUAGCCCCUCAUUGUAUACAUGGGCUGGGAUUGAGGAACGCAGCACGCCCUUGUGGCCGGGGGUUCGCCCUACGUACCGUGCUUAGGAUGUUGGCAGAAUGGCUUUAAGCGACCCGUCUUGAAACACGGACCAAGGAGUCUAACAUGCUUGCGAGUGUUCGGGUGGAAAACCCUUGUGCGUAAUGAAAGUGAAAGUUGGGAACCUCCGCAAGGGGGUGCACCGACGCCCGGCCCUGACGUUCUCUGACGGUGCUGCGGUAGAGCAAGUAUGCUAGGACCCGAAAGAUGGUGAACUAUGCCUGAAUAGGGCGAAGCCAGAGGAAACUCUGGUGGAGGCUCGUAGCGAUUCUGACGUGCAAAUCGAUCGUCAAAUUUGGG
rnacentral:rRNA from 1 species